AUACGGAGGAUCCGAGCGUUAUCCGGAUUUAUUGGGUUUAAAGGGUGCGCAGGCGGGAGAUUAAGUCGGCGGUGAAAUUUUGCAGCCCAACUGUAAAAAUGCCUUCGAAACUGGUUUCCUUGAGUGUAGAUGAAGUAGGGGGAAUUUGUGGUGUAGCGGUGGAAUGCAUAGAUAUCACGAGGAACUCCGAUUGCGCAGGCAGCUUACUAAACUACUACUGACGCUCAGGCACGAAGGCGUGGGGAUCAAACAGGAUUAGAUACCCUGGUAGUCCACGCAGUAAACGAUGAUUACUAGCUGUUUGCGAUACAAUGUAAGCGGCUGAGCGAAAGCGUUAAGUAAUCCACCUGGGGAGUACGUUCGCAAGAAUGAAACUCAAAUGAAUUGACGGGG
rnacentral:rRNA from 1 species